GUAUAAUUAUCACACUAUCAGCACUGCUUACAAAAUGCUGUCUGUGCAACAGAACUUUUAUUAGGCUGGUUUUCCUUAUAUCUGUGUAACUAUAGCUGUAUUAACGAUUUCUAUGUAACUGUGUUGGUGGAUGAUUCCUUUAAAUAUUUUCUAUACAUUUGUAAUUAAAGUUCACGUUCUGUGGUGGAAUGAGAGUCCGGACAAUCGAGCUGCUGGAAGACAUUUUGCUCACGAAGAUGCAAGAGUGGUGGCAGCUG